UACGUAGGUGGCGAGCGUUGUCCGGAUUUAUUGGGCGUAAAGCGUGCGUAGGCGGUUGUCUAAGUCUGGUGUGAAAUCUCCCGGCUCAACUGGGAGGGUGCGCCGGAAACUGGAUGACUGGAGUGCCGGAGAGGUAAGCGGAAUUCCUGGUGUAGCGGUGAAAUGCGUAGAGAUCAGGAGGAACACCUGUGGUGUAGACAGCUUACUGGACGGUGACUGACGCUGAGGCACGAAAGCGUGGGUAGCAAACAGG
rnacentral:rRNA from 1 species